rnacentral:rRNA from 1 species
AUUGAACGCUGGCGGCAGGCCUAACACAUGCAAGUCGAACGAGUGGCGGACGGGUGAGUAAUGUCUGGGAAACUGCCCGAUGGAGGGGGAUCACUACUGGAAACGGUAGCUAAUACCGCAUACCAUCGGAUGUGCCCAGAUGGGAUUAGCUAGUAGGUGGGGUACAGGCUCACCUAGGCGACGAUCCCUAGCUGGUAUGAGGUGAUGCCCGGACACACUGGAACUGCGACACGGUCCAGACGCCUACGGGAGGCAGCAGUGGGGAAUAUUGCACAAUGGGCGCAAGCCUGAUGCAGCCAUGCCGCGUGUAUGAAGAAGGCCUUCGGGUUGUAAAGUACUUUCAGCGGGGAGGCGUUACCCGCAGAAGAAGCACCGGCUAACUACGUGCCAGCAGACGCGGUAAUUC